AGUGAGGAAGGUGGAUAUGUUAAUAGCAUAUUCAUUUGACGUUAGCUGCAGAAGAAGCACCGGCUAACUCCGUGCCAGCAGCCGCGGUAAUACGGAGGGUGCGAGCGUUAAUCGGAAUUACUGGGCGUAAAGCGCAUGCAGGUGGUUUGUUAAGUCAGAUGUGAAAGCCCGGGGCUCAACCUCGGAAUUGCAUUUGAAACUGGCAAACUAGAGUACUGUAGAGGGGGUAGAAUUUCAGGUGUAGCGGUGAAAUGCGUAGAGAUCUGAAGGAAUACCGGUGGCGAAGGCGGCCCCCUGGACAGAUACUGACACUCAGAUGCGAAAGCGUGGGGAGCAAACAGGAUUAGAUACCCUGAUAG
rnacentral:rRNA from 1 species